GGAGGGGUGCGAGCGUUAAUCGGAAUUACUGGGCGUAAAGCGCGCGUAGGGCGGCUUGGUAAGUCGGGAUGUGAAAGCCCCGGGGCUUAACCUGGGAAUUGCAUCCGAUACUGCCAGACUAGAGUAUGGGAGAGGGAAGUGGAAUUUCCGGUGUAGCGGUGAAAUGCGUAGAUAUCGGAAGGAACACCAGUGGCGAAGGCGGCUUCCUGGCCCAAUACUGACGCUGAGGUGCGAAAGCGUGGGGAGCGAACAGGCUUAGAUACCCUGGUAGUCCACGCCGUAAACGAUGAGAACUAGAUGUCGGGAGGAUUUGCCUCUCGGUGUCGCAGCUAACGCGUUAAGUUCUCCGCCUGGGGAGUACGCCGGCAAACGGUA
rnacentral:rRNA from 1 species